AGCUUUGUGCAGUGGCAGUAUCGUAGCCAAUGAGGUUUAUCCGAGGUGCGAUUAUUGCUAAUUUAAAACUUUUCCCAAUACCCUGCCAAUGACGACUUGCAAUAUAGUUGGCAUUGGCAAUUUUUGACAGUCUCUAUGGAGA
rnacentral:snRNA from 1 species